AACGAACGUUGGCGGCGUGGAUUAGGCAUGCAAGUCGAACGAAGCUAGCCUGCGUAGCAAUACACGGGCUAGACUGAGUGGCGAAAGGGGCAGUAAUGCGUGGAUAACCUACCCCGGGGAUGGGGAUAGCCAUUCUAACGAGUGGGUAAUACCCGGCGAUGCAGCGAGAUCGCAUGGUUUUGCUGUGAAAUGAAUUUCGCCUCGGGAGGGGUUCACGUGCUAUUAGCUGUUGGUGGGGUAACGGCCUACCAAGGCAAAGAUGGCUAGCGGGUGUGAGAGCACGACCCGCGCCACUGGCACUGAGACACUGGCCAGACUCCUACGGGAGGCUGCAGUCGAGGAUCUUCGGCAAUGGGCGCAAGCCUGACCGAGCGACGCCGCGUGCGCGAUGAA
rnacentral:rRNA from 1 species